rnacentral:rRNA from 1 species
UGGAGGCAGCAGUGGGAAUCUUGCGCAAUGGGCGAAAGCCUGACGCAGCGACACCGCGUGGAGGAAGAAGGCCUUCGGGUUGUAAACUCCUUUUAUGUGGGACGAACACAAUGACGGUACCAUAUGAAUAAGCACCUGCUAACUAUGUGCCAGAAGCCUCGGUAAUACGUAGGGUGCAAGCGUUAUCCGGAUUUACUGGGCGUAAAGAGUAUCGUAGGCGGUCUAAUAAGUGUGUGGUGAAAUCCCCCGGCUCAACCGGAGAAUUGCUGCGCAUACUAUUAGGCUGGAGGGCGCUAGAGGAUGCUGGAAUUCUCGGUGGAGCAGUGAAAUGCGUUGAUAUCGAGAAGAACACCAAGGGCGAAGGCAGGCAUCUGGGGCGCUUCUGACGCUGAUGAACGAAAGCUAGGGGAGCGAAAGGGAUUAGAUACCCCGGUAGG